CUUUGUUUACACCACACAGAGAGGAGCUUACAAGGCCCUCCCCCUCCCCCACCUCGGUGCCUCAGACCACAUCACUGUCAUGCUAAUGCCUGCAUACAGACCACUCGUUAAAGUCACCAAACCAGUUCACAAACUGAUACAAGUGUGGCCGGAAGGGUCGUCAGAGGCUCUUCAAGACUGUUUUAACACCACUGACUGGAAUAUGUUUAAGCAGGCUGCCACAUACAAUAACACCACAGACCUCCAGGAGUACUCAGAGACUGUCACUGCCUACAUCACCAAGUGCAUUGAUGAUGUAACAGUCACAAAGACCAUCACUGUCCGGGCCAACCAGAAGCCGUGGCUAACAGGGGAGGUCUACGGACUCCUGAAGACGCGGAACGCUGCCUUCAGAGCUGGAGAUGAGGUGGGCUUGAAGACAGCUAGGGCCAACCUUUCCCGCGGCAUCAGAGAGGCAAAAAGACAGUACUCCAGGAGGAUAGCCCAUCAUUUCAGCGACAGCAGAGACACUCGGAGCCUGUGGCAGGGGAUACAGACCAUUACGGACUACAAGCCCCCACCACGCACCUGUGACAGCACCAUCUCCCUGCUGAACGAGCUGAACGUCUUCUUCGCUCGCUUUGAGGCACAAAACAGCACCACUGCACAGAAGACUCCACCUCCUCCCGGCGACCAGGUGAUGACGCUGUCCCCGGACAGCGUGAGGAGAUCCCUCAGCAGGAUCAAUGCACGCAAAGCUCCGGGUCCUGACAACAUUCCUGGGCGUGUACUGAGAGACUGUGCAGUGGAACUCACCGAUGUCUUCACAGACAUUUUCAACAUCUCGCUAAGCCAGGCUAUUGUCCCCACAUGCUUCAAAGCCACCACCAUCAUUCCAGUCCCGAAGAAGUCGUCUCCAUCCUGCUUCAAUGACUACCGUCCAGUUGCACUUAACCCCAUCCUCAUGAAGUGCUUUGAACAGCUAGUCAUGCACCAUAUCAAGUCUGCCCUCCCCCACUCCCUGGACCCCUUCCAGUUUGCAUAUCGGUCCAACCACUCGACCGAUGANNNNNNNNNNNNNNNNNNNNNNNNNNNNNNNNNNNNNNNNNNNN
ensembl:lncRNA